rnacentral:misc_RNA from 1 species
GUAGGUGAACCUGCGGAAGGAUCAUUAACACGAACAAAAUGUUCCAAAACCUUUUUGGAUCAACGCCAACCUUUGAAAAGGCGAACCUAGUUGUAUUUUUCUCCUUUUUCUAUUUCGUUUUUCUCAAACGCAACUUCUCAUGGAAAUUGACUAGAAUCGUGUGAUUUGUUCCAAUCCUAUCACCUCUUUCUCCUCUCCUCUCCUCGUGAGAUGAGAUGGGAUGUGAGAUGGGAGAUGGAGGGUGGGUUUGGAACUAACCAUUCCUAACGCUAAAACAACUCUUAACAACGGAUAUCUUGGCUCUC